rnacentral:rRNA from 1 species
CCCUUAGAUGUUCUGGGCCGCACGCGCGCUACACUGACGAAGUCAGCGAGCAUCUCCUACGCCGAAAGGUGCGGGGAAUCUUGUGAAACUUUGUCGUGCUGGGGAUUGGUUUUUGAAAUUCUUGAUCAUCAACGAGGAAUUCCUAGUAAGCGCAAGUCAGCAGCUUGCGUUGAUUACGUCCCUGCCCUUUGUACACACCGCCCGUCGCUACUACCGAUUGAAUGGUUUAGUGAGAUUUUUGGACUGGAACUCUCUUGUUCAGCAAUGAACGAGAGGGACUCUGGGAAGCUAUUCUAACUGUAUCAUUUAGAGGAAGUAAAAGUCGUAACA